GGGGAUGGGGAUGGGGAUCGGGAUCGGGAUCGGGAUGGGGAUCGGGCCACUCCGGACGCCCGGGGUCUGUUCCUGGCCGAUAACGGGCCCUGCCUCUCCUCUCGCCCCGUCUGGCCUCAGGGGCCGCUUCCGCCGCACCCCUGGAGGAGGCGGCUGAAAGAUGAUACUUGAAUUACUUGAAUUUAAGCUUGCCGCUUUUACUUAUCAGUGCAUUUUCAUGUACGCUUGUAAAAGAAAUGUUUUCAGCCCAUUUCUUGUUUCCUGGUUACCUUGUUGGCCGGUUUUUUUCGUGUGUCAGUGUUACAGUCACAAUUGUCCAAUGUGCUGAGGAAAGGAAGGUUCAGAUUAGUUAUUAGAAAACAUAUUUUCAUUAUUCGAGUGUUCAGGCAUUGCAAUGGGUUGCCCAGCGAGGUGGCUGAGUCACCAUCCCUUUAGCUGAGGCAUCCGGACCUGGCACUGUGUGACGCAAUUUAACCUGCAGCCCCUGGUAUAUGCGUUUAGAAAGAGGUUAUGACUACAGUUGCUUUUGCAGUCUCUUUUAAGACAGUCUAAUUUAAAAAUAUUUUUGGCAUACAUUUAAUACAAGAAGUCUCAGCAAGUUUCCUAGUAUCUUUUAAAUAAUGUAGGUAACACAUGUUUCUUAGUUCCAGAUGCAGUUCCUAAACUUCAGGCAAUGCUUAAGUUGCUGAAGAAAUACUGAAAUGUGAGACAAAUGGAAAGGAGAUGUAUAUGAUAUUGUGGGAACAAAAAAUUUACAAGGCUGCAGGAGGAGGCUGGACAAGUACAUGAAAGUACAAGUCACAAAAUUCAAGGAAGGUUCUUGUUGCCCAGAAUGUGCGUGCUCUCUGGGAUACUGGGGACUGUGAAGUGAAACACUUUAUUUGUGUAGUUUUUUCCUCAAAAACUGUUCGAUCUAUGUAUGCUGAUAAUGAAUCUGAAUUUAUGAAGUACCUGAAAUCCAAGUGACAGCUGGAUUAAAAAAAGUAAAAAUAUAAGGAAAAAUUCUUAUGCCUAGGAGCAGCACUAGUAAUCAUAAUCAAGUCCACUCUGUUUUGGAGCAGCAGAGAAAUGGUGCCAACAUUGCUGAGGUUUUAUGCUUCAUCAAUAACAGCAUAUGUGGCUUCAGCUAAGCUGCAGCAUGAAAAGCUACAGUUGCAAGACUGAAAUAUAGCCAAGGCACAGACUGUACCUUCAGCUGUGAUGUGACUGGAGCGAUGUCCAUAUCCUUACAUGGAAAUAGUUGUGGUAGAUAAAAUGUUACUGGAAUGCCAUGACUGGAGGAUAUGUGGAGGAUAUAUGGAGGAUUCUGUCAUCCUUUUUUUUGGUAUGUAAAUAAGAACAUUUGUAGUGCAUGCUUGAAGUGCUCUUUCUGGCUUUGUAACCAUGUUUCCUUCCAGGUGUUGGUCAUGUUUUUAUUUGUUUGAACAUGUAUUUAUAUUUUCUGUUUGGCUGGCAAAUAGACUCUGUGUAAAAUGUGAAGCUUGGUGACUUAAGUGAAUUAUCUGUGGAACAGCGAAUGUAUUUUGCUUCAGUGGGAGGCUGCCUGUCCUAAGUGUUUUCCACAGGCAAGCCUUUGGCAGUUACAGAAAUGAAAAUGGUGACUAGACAACAUGUUUUAAAGUGAUGAAAGGAAAGCGUUUAUUUGUAGUAGGCUGUCAUGACCUUGCACUGACAUCUCUAAAGCUUUUUGGACACUUCUAAAGAGAUUCCUUGAUCAAAACUAAAACUACCAUGAGACCCUGGUUCUUCCACUGGAACUGAGCAGAAUAAUUGUUGCCAGUGAUGGUUAAGUUUGGUAGAGACGGACAUUUGGUGGCUUCUCAAAUUGGCCAGUUAAAUAGAUAGAAUGAAGUGCUUUGUAAAAAUACUAAAGUUUUCAUGUUCAGUAGCUAAUAUAACUGGUUUUAUUUGCUGGGAAGAUUGUCUGAUUUAAAGUUUGAGAAAAGGUUGUGAAGUCUUCUAAGUCACAUUUCAUCAAACUGUAUUUUUUAAUACUUUUUUGUUGAUAUACAGAGACAUUAACUCAUUUUAUUUUAUGUAGCUUAACAUGGCAGAAGCACUUAAAGUUACAGAUCUGAGUAUAACUUUAUCUGAAAUGUUAGAAUUAUAUUUUCUAAUUUCAGAACUUCAGUGUGACACCAGACUUGCAUAUAAUGCUUUUUAAAGUACAUUAUUUUGAAGGUAUAACCAUGCAUCUUCUCCCUAAUUUUUUGUUUUAUGUCUUUGUCAAGGCCAAGAAAUUAAGUUUCUGGAUGCCCAAGUUCUGUGAGAUGAGUAGAGCCUGUUUAAAGGGUGACUUUUGAGAGGAAAAAAAGAUUGCAUGUUACAACUUUAAUACACAGUGUUACUCGAUUUGUUGGGUUUUUCUUUGUUGUAACCAAGAAAGGAAUCUUCAAGGGGAGGUGGAGCCUUGACCUGCCUGUGAGAGGAAAGCCCAUCUAUGUGGCCAUGGCUGUGCCUGGUGAUGCAAUGUUUGUGCUGUUCCCUUUCAUGGCAAUGAGAGAAGGGCCAGGCACACUACAGCUUUCUUACCUCUUCACAAGCAAAUAAUGACUAAUGGAUGUAAUGUUAUUGGCAUCUAGGCAGCUGGACAUCUAAUUUCUGCUAAUGUGAUUGAUGAUCUCAGCAUAUCUUUUUUUUUUUUUUUUUUUUUUUCCUUUUUCUUUUUUGAAAUGUAGGUUCCUGCAUGCUGGAGAAAUACCACUUUAUUUCUCCAUUCUGAUGAAAAAUGCUAGAAUGAGUUACUGUGCUCCCUUUAUUUAAUAGAGUUUUUACUUUGGUGUUUGUUUUUGACUGGAAAAUACAUGUUUUUGCAAUUUGUGUACAGAGAGACAGAGAAAAACUUAAUGGAAGCUUGUUCUCCAGAAAGAGCACAAGAGAUUAUACACUCUGUCUACACUCUUUCACUUUUGCCCAAAUGUAAUUUUAAUGUUAAGGUAAAAUGGUACAGCUUAAACAUGAAAGCAGAGUGAGUGGAUACACAAAAGCAUGGCACCUUUUAUAUCAGCAUUCUUUGCUGACUACAGCAAGGUGAAAUCAAGGUGGAGGCAUUGCUUAAAUGGAAUGCAUGAAGCUUAAAGUAGAGCUGAUGGACUGAAUUUUGCUUUAAUUUAUACCUAGUGCAGUUCCAUUGAAGUCAGCAGGGAGAUGGAUCAAAGCAGGACUUUGCUACUAAAUAAUAGGGUGCUCAAAAUUGCUCAUGCCAUCAUUUCUGCAACCUUGGUUGUAAUCCUCAAAUAAAAAUGAGGGUUAUUGUAUCUAGUGCAAAAAUAGUAUUUUCUGUGGAAAAUUUUUAAAGUGUUAUUUAGGAAAAUAACAAAAAAAAUUAAAACAAUAA